UUCCAGACUCCUACGGGAGGCAGCAGUGGGGAAUAUUGCACAAUGGGGGAAACCCUGAUGCAGCGACGCCGCGUGAGUGAAGAAGUAUUUCGGUAUGUAAAGCUCUAUCAGCAGGGAAGAAAAUGACGGUACCUGACUAAGAAGCCCCGGCUAACUACGUGCCAGCAGCCGCGGUAAUACGUAGGGGGCAAGCGUUAUCCGGAUUUACUGGGUGUAAAGGGAGCGUAGACGGUGAUGCAAGUCAGAAGUGAAAGCCCGGGGCUCAACUCCGGGACUGCUUUUGAAACUGUGUGACUGGAGUGCAGGAGAGGUAAGCGGAAUUCCUGGUGUAGCGGUGAAAUGCGUAGAUAUCAGGAGGAACACCAGUGGCGAAGGCGGCUUACUGGACUGUAACUGACGUUGAGGCUCGAAAGCGUGGGGAGCAAACAGGAUUAGAUACCCCUGUA
rnacentral:rRNA from 1 species